rnacentral:rRNA from 1 species
UACGGAGGGGGCCAGCGUUGCUCGGAAUCACUGGGCGUAAAGGGCUCGUAGGCGGUCUGAUAAGUCCUGUGUGAAAUCCCUUGGCUUAACCAAGGAACUGCGCCGGAUACUGUCGGACUAGAGGCCGGGAGAGGGAAGCGGAAUUCCGAGUGUAGCGGUGAAAUGCGUAGAUAUUCGGAGGAACACCGGUGGCGAAGGCGGCUUCCUGGACCGGUUCUGACGCUGAUGGGCGAAAGCUAGGGUAGCAAACAGG